UACGAAGGGGGGCUAGCGUUGCUCGGAAUCACUGGGCGUAAAGCGCACGUAGGCGGAUUGCUAAGUCAGGGGGUGAAAUCCUGGAGCUCAACUCCAGAACUGCCUUUGAUACUGGCGAUCUUGAGUCCGGGAGAGGUGAGUGGAACUCCUGGUGUAGCGGUGGAAUGCGCAGAUAUCAGGAAGAACACCAACGGCGAAGGCAGCUCGCUGGGACGGUACUGACGCUGAGACGCGAAAGCGUGGGGGAGCGAACAGG
rnacentral:rRNA from 1 species